UAGGUUGAGAAACUGUUUUUGAGUUUUGA
rnacentral:piRNA from 1 species